rnacentral:rRNA from 1 species
AUUGAACGCUGGCGGCAUGCUUUACACAUGCAAGUCGAACGGCAGCACGAAAGAGCUUGCUCUUUUGGUGGCGAGUGGCGCACGGGUGAGUAAUGCAUCGGAACGUACCGAGUAAUGGGGGAUAACUGUCCGAAAGGAUAGCUAAUACCGCAUACGCUUUGAGAAGGAAAGUGGGGGCUCUUCGGACCUCACGUUAUUCGAGCGGCCGAUGUCUGAUUAGCUAGUUGGUGGGGUAAAGGCCUACCAAGGCGACGAUCAGUAGCGGGUCUGAGAGGAUGAUCCGCCACACUGGGACUGAGACACGGCCCAGACUCCUACGGGAGGCAGCAGUGGGGAAUUUUGGACAAUGGGCGCAAGCCUGAUCCAGCCAUGCCGCGUGUCUGAAGAAGGCCUUCGGGUUGUAAAGGACUUUUGUUAGGGAAGAAAAGGAUAGUGUUAAUACCAUUAUCUGCUGACGGUACCUAAAGAAUAAGCACCGGCUAACUACGU